UGAAAAUGAGGUUUUUUUCAGUCAUAAUAAUAAUAAUUACCUAAUACAGCAGUAUAUGCAUGACCUAAUGUGUAUGAAAUUUGGAGCAGCUUACUAAAGAAGAUUGAAAUAGGUUUGAUUAGUCUAUGACAGUUGGGUUAUAGAGUGGAUGACUUUGUAUUUUGCAUAAAUUUGCAUUAUUUGAACUUUUCUCUCCGGUCUCCCACUAUGCAUUUUGCCAGGUAAAUAUAUUAACCUCAUUUUUGUUUUUUUUUUUAUGUACUUACUAAUUGUUGUUCAACUUUAUUCCUUUCUUCGAAGAAAAAUCUAUUGCAGUGGAGCCAAAUAUAUAUAUUUUUAUCUAAACUCUGUAUGUAUUUAGAUGCAUAUGUAUGUCAUGCAGAAAUUCCAGGAUUAAAUUCUGUGAGUUACAGCAUCAGAUGGUAGCACUGGUAGCAAGUCUAAUGUUCCUUUUCAGAUAUCAUUCUUAAAGUCUUUAUAAUGAAAUUGGGCUCAGACUGUGACAUAAUCCAGAAAUGUAAGAUCCCCCAUGACAUACUUGUCACUUUGUCACUGAUUUUUUUCCAACUUGAAAGGAGGAACCUUAAAAGAAAAAAAAACCUCAACAUUUUUUAAUCCAUUACAAUUUUUACAAGGCUUUCUUAUGCAGUAGCUGCUGUAGUUAAGUGUGUGGUAACCCUUUGAAUGUGGGGGGGGAGGUUUAGGCCAUUAAAUCCAAUUGCAUUUUAGGCUUCUAUGUUGUCAUAGAAAAACUCAAGCUGUAGAAAUGCAUCCAUUUUAAUUUUUUUUUUUAAUUUAUUCUUUUCCCCUAAUUAUGUUCAGUUUUGAUGUGAAAUAGUAAGAAAUCAGAUUUCUUAUUCUGAGGUAACUUUUGUACUGACUGAAACUGGUAGUGGAACUUCUGCUUCUGCAGAAGAGAUUUAGGACUCCUUUGAAUCAAAAUGGGAGUCCUGUUAGGCGCAAAUUUACCUGGGAAAGUCAAGAUAUCACAAACACGGAUGUCGCAAACAAGCUGGUGCCUGAGCCAAAUGCUGCUGAAAUCAAAGAGGUGUCUGCCAUUAGGUAGGAGCAAAGAAGAGCUGGUGCUGGUUUGAAAAGUCUUGAGAGGAUUAGCUGUGGGAAAGCCAACGUGGAAUGCUGGGCCCUGGCUGUUGGUGUUCUGAGGGCUGCUAGCUGGUGACUUGGUUCAGGCUUCCACACUGGGUCAGUACCAGUUCAGCUGUGGUUAUUGUUGAGAAAUGGGACUACACCAGUGGGAAGGGCAGUGCGAGGCUUUCAGAUAAUUCCUCAUUCACACCAAAGCCCUUUGAUGUUCAUCUGGGCUUAGUGCAGGUCUGAUUUAGUGGCUGUUACGGUGCGUUAGUAAUAUGGAAUUACUUUUUAUGGCCAAUUCUAUUUAUUUCACUGUAGUUUAAUUGCAUAUGUGCAUAACAAUCAAGAACUAAUUGGAGUUAUGGUAAUUUAUAGUGUAGUAGUCAGGCUGUUUUCAAAGCCCUACUAAUCAGUAAUUGUGUGAAGUCGUAGGUUGUUCGGUUGGGCUCACUUCAGUGCGCGGGUCACACUUUACUGUCACAGCAAGGAAGGAUUUCUUUGAAGCUCUUGCAGGCUUCUACAGGGGGAUUUCAUCUGUCAGGACCAUAGAUCUUGCCUGUGAUAAUGAUUUUUGCAAGCAAACGAGACGAUGUUGCCAGUUUGACA
rnacentral:lncRNA from 1 species